ACUUAGACACCUUGGACUACAAAAGAGAUAUCACAGGGCAGGGGACUUGGGAGCCACUUUGUAACUUUCUGAGACUCAGUUUCCUUACCUGCAAAACAGGGACCAUGAAACCUGCCUCACAGACUGCAGUCAUGUGCAGAGCCUGGGAGAGGUGCCUAUCAAGCCUUUGUUGGAUAAAAGAAGGAAGAUCCCACAUGCCGCAGAGCAACUAAGCCCAUGUGCCACAACUACUGAGCCUGCGCUCUAGAGCCCGUGAGCCACAACUACUGAGCCUGCGUGCCACAACUACCGAAGCCCACGUGCCUAGAGCCUGUGCUCCGCAACAAGAGAAGCCACCACAAUGAGAAGCCUGCACACCGCAACGAAGACUCAAUGCAGCCAAAAAUAAAUAAAUAAAAUAAAUAAAUUAAAAAAAAAAAAUUUUGGCUCAGGGAGGCCCCCUUGGGGCAGGGAUUGCCUCAGUCAGCUCCUUUGGGGAGGUCCCCUAAUUGGACCCCUGAGCCCUAGUAAUGAUGCAAACUCACCAGGCAGAGGAUAACAGGCAGGGAGGGAGGGGAAAGGGGGAAGGAAACAGGUUGGCAAAAAAAUAAUAACAACCCCCCUCCCAUUGUGAGGGGAGGGACUCGAGAGUCCCCAGAUUGUCACUUAGUUGCUGUGUAACUUUGGAUGGGUUGCUUGACCUCUCUGAGCCUCCAAUUCCUCAUUGACAAGUGGAGAUAAUAGAAACUCCAGCCCCAGAGUGUUGCUGUGAGAAGAUAUUCAAGGAAAGUACCUAGCACAAUGCCUGGCUCAGAAGUAGGGACUCAGAAAAUUGGGACAAUUAUCAUCAUGUUAUUAAACCUGUAUUACUACCAAUGACUGUUCAUACCCA